CAACAGUUACUGAACCCUAUCAAACUCCGAAUGCCAUAUACUUGUACCCCGGCAGUCAGACUACGAAUGAUAAGAUCCGUGGUCAAAAGGGAAACAGCCCAGACCAUCAGCUAAGGUCCCAAAGUGUAAGUUAAGUGGGAAAGGAUGUGGGAUUUCUAAGACAACUAGGAUGUUGGCUUAGAAGCAGCCACUCAUUUAAAGAGUGCGUAAUAGCUCACUAGUCGAGAGAUCCUGCGCCGAAGAUGUAACGGGGCUCAAACUUACCACCGAAGCUAUGGAUGUGUACUUUGUACACGUGGUAGAGGAGCUUUCUGUACAGGUUGAAGUCAUACCGUAAGGAGUGGUGGACAGUACAGAAGUGAGAAUGCUGGCAUAAGUAGCGAAAAACAAGUGAGAAUCUUGUUGACCGAAUAUCUAAGGUUUCCUGGGGAAGGCUCGUCCUCCCAGGGUUAGUCGGGACCUAAGCCGAGGCCGAAAGGCGUAGGUGAUGGACAACUGGGUGAUAUUCCAGUACCACCAUAAUGCGUUUGACAAAUGGGAUGACGCAGGAGGAUAGGAUGUGCGCACUAUUGGAUGUGCGUCUAAGCACUUA
rnacentral:rRNA from 1 species